GUGAUGUCCGUCCCACCCUGACGGUGCUGCCCCCCUCCAGUGAGGAGCUGCAGCAGGGGAAGGCCACGCUCAUGUGCCUGGCCAACAAGGGCUUCCCCUCAGACUGGAGUCUGGCCUGGAAGGUGGACGGCAGCAGCAGCAGCAGCAGCUGGGAGGAGAGCAGGAGCCCCGGGGUGCUGGAGAAGGACGGCCGCUACAGCUGGAGCAGCACCCUGAGGCUCCCUGCAGACCAGUGGAGGAAGGUGGGCUCUGUGACCUGUGAGGCCACCCAGGGCUCCCAGGCUCUGGUCUCAGAGACACUGAGGAGAGACCAGUGUUCCCAGUCCUGACCUGACUCACUGGGACUCUGCUACUGGUGUUACUGGUCUCUCAUUACACAUUUCA